rnacentral:rRNA from 2 species
GGGUUGUGAGGUUAAGCGACUAAGCGUACACGGUGGAUGCCCUGGCAGUCAGAGGCGAUGAAGGACGUGCUAAUCUGCGAUAAGCGUCGGUAAGGUGAUAUGAACCGUUAUAACCGGCGAUUUCCGAAUGGGGAAACCCAGUGUGAUUCGUCACACUAUCAUUAACUGAAUCCAUAGGUUAAUGAGGCGAACCGGGGGAACUGAAACAUCUAAGUACCCCGAGGAAAAGAAAUCAACCGAGAUUCCCCCAGUAGCGGCGAGCGAACGGGGAGGAGCCCAGAGCCUGAAUCAGUGUGUGUGUUAGUGGAAGCGUCUGGAAAGGCGCGCGAUACAGGGUGACAGCCCCGUACACAAAAAUGCACAUACUGUGAGCUCGAUGAGUAGGGCGGGACACGUGGUAUCCUGUCUGAAUAUGGGGGGACCAUCCUCCAAGGCUAAAUACUCCUGACUGACCGAUAGUGAACCAGUACCGUGAGGGAAAGGCGAAAAGAACCCCGGCGAGGGGAGUGAAAAAGAACCUGAAACCGUGUACGUACAAGCAGUGGGAGCCUCUUUAUGGGGUGACUGCGUACCUUUUGUAUAAUGGGUCAGCGACUUAUAUUCUGUAGCAAGGUUAACCGAAUAGGGGAGCCGAAGGGAAACCGAGUCUUAACUGGGCGUUAAGUUGCAGGGUAUAGACCCGAAACCCGGUGAUCUAGCCAUGGGCAGGUUGAAGGUUGGGUAACACUAACUGGAGGACCGAACCGACUAAUGUUGAAAAAUUAGCGGAUGACUUGUGGCUGGGGGUGAAAGGCCAAUCAAACCGGGAGAUAGCUGGUUCUCCCCGAAAGCUAUUUAGGUAGCGCCUCGUGAAUUCAUCUCCGGGGGUAGAGCACUGUUUCGGCAAGGGGGUCAUCCCGACUUACCAACCCGAUGCAAACUGCGAAUACCGGAGAAUGUUAUCACGGGAGACACACGGCGGGUGCUAACGUCCGUCGUGAAGAGGGAAACAACCCAGACCGCCAGCUAAGGUCCCAAAGUCAUGGUUAAGUGGGAAACGAUGUGGGAAGGCCCAGACAGCCAGGAUGUUGGCUUAGAAGCAGCCAUCAUUUAAAGAAAGCGUAAUAGCUCACUGGUCGAGUCGGCCUGCGCGGAAGAUGUAACGGGGCUAAACCAUG